ACCCAAGGCAGUUGCCACACCUUGCCCGACAGGUGGGCCGGCCCUGCUGUUGAUUGUUAACCCGUUUGAAAUGCUCAUCCCUCGCGUUCACUUCUUCAGUAGCCUGAGGCAAAGCGACUGUAAACGUUAGCAACAAAAUCAGGGGGAAAUACUGAACUAUUAUUAUUAUUUGUAACCUAUCCAUUCUGAAGGAAUUUUUUUUUUUAAUGAUAUUUAUUAAAGUUUCAAAAAAAAUUACAAAAAAUACAGAAUACAGAAAGAACAAGAAUAAAGUUUUUUUAAAAAAUAUAUAACCAAAGAAGUAAAAAAUAAAAGAAAACAUACCAAAUAAAACAAUUAAAAGGACAUUAAAUUUCCAUAACCUAUCUUCCUUAUACUUAUUUCCCGGACCUCCUCAUACCUCCCUUUUUUGUAUUCCAGUUCAAUUUGUUGAUUCAGCAAAUCCUUACCAUUGAAAUUACCCAGUUGCAAACCUUUUUUCAUAUCUCUUAAAGCAUUACAGCUAAAAAACCCUUAGUUUCUAUCCAACAUCCUUCUAAGAUUCCUUAAUUUUACAAUAUUUCUGUAAAUAGUCUUUAAAUUUCUUCCAGUCUUCUUUCACCGUCUCUUCUCUCUGGUCUCGGAUUCUGCCAGUCAUCCAUUCUGAAGGAAAUCAGCCCUGAGUGCUCACUGGAAGGACAGAUCCUGAAGCUGAGGCUCCAAUACUUUGGCCACCUCAUGAGAAGAGAAGACUCCCUGGAAAAGACCCUGAUGUUGGGAAAGAUGGAGGGCACAAGGAGAAGGGGACGACAGAGGACAAGAUGGUUGGGCAGUGUUCUCGAAGCUACCAGCAUGAGUUUGACCAAAUUGCGGGAGGCAGUGGAAGACAGGAGUGUCUGGCGUGCUCUGGUCCAGGGGGUCACGAAGAGUCAGACACGACUGAACGACUAAACAACAACAACAUCAGGAUCCUCCACCCAAGGCAGUUGCCUCACCUUGCCUGGCAGGUGGGCCGGCCCUGCUGUUGGUCAUUAACAUGUUUGAAAUACUUGCCCCUCAUGUUCACUUCUUCAGUAGCCUGCGACAAAGUGACUGUAGACGUUAGCAACAAAAUCAGGGGAAAAUACUGAGCUUUUAUUAUUAUUAUUUGUUGUACUGUCCUUCAUGCAAAGAUCACAGGAUGGUUCACAGCGUAAAACCACAAAAUCUAAAACAGUAGCAAAGAAACAGAAGGACAACACACCCUGCCCAGGCACAUUUAAAAGGCCUUGAGUUGUUUAAUAAGCCAAAGGACUGGAAGAAUAGGAAUGCCCGGUGCCUAAAGAUAUGUACCAUAUUUUUCGCUCUAUAAGACACACCAGACCACAAGACGCACCUAGUUUUUGGAGGAGGAAAACAAGAGAAAAAAAAUUCUGAAUCUCAGAAGCCAGAACAGCAAGAGGGAUCGCUGCGCAGUGAAAGCAGCAAUCCCUCUUGCUGUUCUGGCUUCUGGGAUAGCUGCGCAGCUUGCAUUCGCUCCAUAAGACGCACACACAUUUCCCCUUACUUUUUAGGAGGGAAAAAGUGAGUCUUAUAGAGCAAAAAAUACGGUAAAUAAGGCACCAUUGUGGAGAGCAUUCCACAAAUGGGGAGCCAUUGCAGGAAAAGAUUGUUCUCCUGCUGCCACCAUCAAGAGUUCUUGAGGAGGCACACGAAGAAGGGGCUCAGAUGAUUACAGAUGGAAGUCUUCUUUCUUCUUCUUUGGUGAUCACUCGUAUUCGAGUAAGAUUGUCUUCCAUAAACAUGGUUUUAACAAUGAGUCCAUAAGUGACUGUGGAGGCCAUUUGUAGAUCCACACGUCCUUCCACAGUGGGGACAUUGGUUUCCGGGCGGGAGUUGAUCACGGUGAGGGUUUGGCAAAUGUGCCUUCCUCUUAGCUCAUUCCUCCCUUUGGCCCUGAGUUUGAGUGUCUUCAAAGCCCAUGGCACCUUUGGUAAAGGCUGUUCUCCAACUGGAGUGCUCGCAGGCCAGUGUUCCCCAGUUGUCAGUGUUUAUACUACAUUUUUUUAGAUUUGCCUUGAGACAGUCUUUAUUUUCCCCCAAAUUUUUUAAUUGAUUUUCAACAUUUAUCACAAAAAUAACAUAACAAAAUACACAACAAAGAAAAAAAACACACCACACUACAAUAAACUAAACACACAAGAAAAAAAGAUUAUCUCUUCAAAUAUCCAACUUUCAUCACAUUGAUGACUGACUUCCUCGAGUCCCCUCUCUGAAUUUCAUUAUAUCACCUUUAUAACAAUUCUCCAAGUUCGUAUUUCUAAUAAUAUUAACUCCUUUCAUUUACUAACCUCUUCUUCUUUUUUAUAUUCUAGUCUUUAAUAUUUACUACCACAUAUUCUUAUUCUACCCCUAAGCCUAUUCAUUACUUCCAAGAAUUUUCUAAUUAUCUUAUAUUACAAUAUUUAGCUAAAUAUUCUUUAAAUUUAUUCCAAUCCUCUUGUAUCUCCUCUUCCUUCUGAUCGCGGAUUCUUCCAGUCAGGUCAGCCAGCUCCAAAAAUUCCAACAUCUUAAUCUGCCAUUCUUAUAUUGUUGGUAUUUCUUGCGAUUUCCAGUUUUUGGCUAAUAAAAGUCUUGCCGCUGUAAAGGUACCCCUGCCCGUACGGGCCAGUCGUGUCCGACUCUAGGGUUGUGCGCCCAUCUCACUUAAGAGGCCGGAGGCCAGCGCUGUCCAGAGACACGUCCGGGUCACGUGGCCAGCGUGACGAAGCUGCUCUGGCGAGCCAGCACCAGCGCAGCACAUGGAAACGCCGUUUACCUUCCCGCUAUAAAGCGGUACCUAUUUAUCUACUUGCACUUAAGAGUGCUUUCGAACUGCUAGGUGGGCAGGAGCUGGGACGGGCGCUCACCCCACCGCGGGGAUUCGAACCACCGACCAUACGAUCGGCAAGUCCUAGGUGCUGAGGUUUUACCCACAGCGCCACCCGCGUCCUUGCCGCUGUAGUGGCAUACAAAAACAGUCUAGCAUCUUUUUGGGGCAAUUCCAGUCCUAGUAUUCCAAGUAGAAAGGCUUCUGGUUUCUUAAUAAAUGUAAUCUUCAACAUUUUUUUCAACUCAUUAUAAAUCUUUUCCCAGAAGUCUUUCACCUUGGGACACGUCCACCAAAUAUGAUAAAAGGUACCUUCUUUUUCUUUGCAUUUCCAACACUGGUUAUCAUUUGUAUGAUAUAUCUUUGCUAAUUUCACCUGGGUUAAGUACCAUCUAUGCAUCAUUUUCAUAAUAUUUUCUUUUAAUACAGUACAUGCAGUAAACUUAACCCCUUUCUUCCACAGCCUUUCCCAAUCUUCCAAAAUUAUAUUGUGUCCAACAUCUCUUGCCCAAUCAAUCAUCACAGAUUUAACUUGUUUAUCCUUUGUAUGCCAUUCCAACAAUAAAUUGUACAUUUUGGAUAGAAUUUUGACAUCGGUAUCUAACAGUUCAGUUUCCAAUUUGGAUUUUUCUGUCGCAAAACCAUUUUUUGAGACAGUCUUUAAACCUCUUUUGUUGACCACCAGCAUUACACUUUCCAUUUUUAAUUUCGGAAUAGAGUAGUUGCUUUGGAAGACGAUAAUCAGGCAUCCUCACAACAUGACCAGUCCAAUGAAGUUGAUGUUGAAAAUCAUUGCUUUAACACUGGUGAUCUUUGCUUCUUCCAGUACACUGGUAUUAGUUUGCCUGUCUUCCCAAGUCAUGUGUAAAAUUUUUCAGAGACCCCAUUGAUGGAAUCUUUCGAGGAGUUGGAGAUGGCAUUUAUAAGUGGUCCAUGUUUCACAAGCAUACAGUAAGGUUGGUAGUAUAAUAGCUUUGUAAACAAGCAUUUUGCUUUCCCUGCAAAUGUCCCGGUCCUCAAACACUCUGCACUUCAAUCAGGAGAAAGCCGCACUCACAGAGCUCAGCUGAUGCUGGAUUUCGGCAUCAGUAUUGGCCCUUGUGGAAAGAUAACUGCCCAGGUAGGAGAAGUGAUUAACAUUUUCCAAUGUUACACCAUUGAGUUUUAUUUGUGGCGCUGCAGAGGGGUUAUUUUGUACUUGUUGGUGCAGCACUUUGGUUUUUUGUUUGUUGAGUGAUAGGCCAAGUUUUUCAUAAGCUGCGAAGAUAUUUAGAAUGGUUUGGAGGUCAUCCUCUGGGCGUGCACACACUACGUUGUCAUCAGCAUACUGAAGCUUAUGAUGGAAGUUACGGUAACCUUACUCUUUGCUUUCAGCCUGCUCAGAUGGAAUCUUUGGAGGAGUUCGAGAGUUGCACGCUGACCAAUGCACAGUCUUCGCAGUAAGGCUCUGUUCCCAUGGCAUGAGUAGUCACAACGACCGGUAGAUUCUUAUCUGCUGCAGCCUUCAUCCGCCUUCACAGCCGUUGUAACAUACUGCUUGUUAUCAUCCUCUUGUUCUGCCGUUGAGGACUUAUUGGAUCAUUCUUUGUCUAGCUCCUUCCCUUUGACCUUACCGCCUUGGGUGACCCUGCUGGGAGUACGAGAUUCCCGACGGCUUCGCUCACAAGGGUCAUAGGAACAUGCAAGCCCGCUCACCACGACAAGGUGAUGAUCCAGCAACUGAGAGAUGGAAAGCUAAAGCACUUUGACAAUAACCAGGGGCUAGAGUUUUUUAUUGUAAAAUGCUUUUUUAUUUUUGCCUUUCUGCCCUACAAUGAGUCCCGAGGCACUCAGAAAACAUAACAAAUCUCAGCUUGUUGGCAUCCGUCUGCCUCGAGACACAAUGGAGUAUGCCUCCUGGGGUGAAGUCAAGCCACUGCGGUAGCAGCCCUGAAGUAACUUCGAAGGGGCAGUAUGUUGGGUUGCCCAGAUGAUAAGACUCCUGUCUCAGCCUCGCUGAUACGGUCCAAAGGAAAGCAGAGCAAUAUGUUUGGCACCAACUUGGCUGCAGGAGUUGCCGGAAGGAGGCGCACAAGGUGCCAUCCAACCGUCUUGGGCUCUACUCCAGAUUUGUGUUGGGUUUAUUCCUGAGCUUUUUCUUCUCUAGAAGGUUUAGGGUCAGAGUUUUCCUUCUCCUAGAUGGGCUACCUUACCAGUCUGGCAAGCUCCAUCUGCCCCUCACUUGCUGCUACAGCACAUGCAGUUUAAUACUUUGUUUAAUACUAUGUUUCUACAUACCACAGGGAUGUUGAUUUUAAAGAAUGAAAGGAAAAAGAAAACAUCAGAAUAUGGUUACAUAGAUAUAACGUAAGGUUUUGCAAGGACAAGUACAUCUGUACUCUCAAUUUUUCUCAUUUUUGUUGUGGGAUGCGUAUUUGUAUCUCUGUAUGUGUGCCAGUUUUAAUACAACUGAUUUGAAUAUGUUUAGAUUAAUAUUGUGGUAUGUCUUAGCAAGUCUAUUAACAAUUUAUACUUCAUUUUUUAUAAAAAAUGAAUAAAUGUGGAACACGCAGCUGUGAUAUCUUAUGUAUGAUGUAUAACUGUUCUCAAUAAUAUUUCCUGUUUUGAACCUGAAAAGGCAUGCAAUCUGCUUUCAUGGUCCUGCCACUAAUUUUCAUACUACAGGAAUAUAAUGUAAAAAUCUGCUUUCGUGGUCCUGCCACUAAUUUUCAUACUACAGGAAUAUAAUGUAAAAGCAGGUGUACAUCUGCAGAUAUCAAGGAUUUUGCCAUAAUCCUUGGAGCUAGAGCACCUCAGACCAAUACACACACACCCCUGUGUGCAUGUGUGUGUGUAUAUAUCCAGUUCUCUCAUAUAUAUAUAAAAGAACUGGACAUAUAUAUACCGCAUUUUUUAUUCAUAUAUAUAUAUAUAUAUAUAUAUAUAUAUAUAUAUAUAUAUAAAAUGCAUAAUGUCUUAACAAGGCAUUACACCUCCAGCAUCUAUUGUCUUAGACAGUGUAUUCCUAUAAAGAUGUUGUGGGGUCCAAUAUACCCAAAACAUUAUUUUUUUGCUGGAUCAAUCUAAAUUUUAAAUUGUAAGGAAACAUCAUGUAUAGAUUCUAAAGUAAUUUCCAUUGCGUGGGUUGUAUAGCACAUUUUAAUUCCCCAUUCCAUUCCUUUAGCCACCUGUGAAGAUCCAAUGAUGUCAGAGCAGAGGGUCCAUAAUUACACAUCAACAGGUGUUGUGACUGAAGAUAAUGCCAUUCAGCAUUCACUGGUAAGUGAUAUUUAAAGUACAAUAUUGUAUAUGGUCCAAAUUAUUCAGCUGAUCUAAUAUACAGCUCCCACGGUCAACAUACUAUCCCAUAAAUUUGAAACCUCAUCAAUUAUUAAACUGUUGUAAUGUAAACAUUAUCUUUUCAACAGCCUGUACUUCCUUAAAGUUUCAGGUAGUAAGACAUAACAGUACCUGAAUUUAGAAAUCACUAAUCAUCAAAUUGGGACGUGGGUGGCACUGUGGGUUAAACCACAGAGCCUAGGACUUGCCGAUCAGAAGGUUGGCAGUUCGAAUCCCCAUGAUGGAGUGAGCUCCCAUUGCUUGGUCCCUGCUCCUGCCAACCUAGCAGUUCAAAAGCACGUCAAAGUGCAAGUAGAUAAAUAGGUACCGCUCCGGCGGGAAGGUAAACGGCAUUUCCAUGUGCUGCUCUGGUUCACCAGAAGAGGCUUAGUCAUGCUGGCCACAUGACCUGGAAGCUGUAUGCCAGCUCCCUCGGCCAAUAAAGCGAGAUGAGCGCCGCAACCCCAGAGUCGGUCACGACUGGACCUAAUCGUCAGGGGUCCCUUUACCUUUAAUCAUCAAAAUAGGUUUCUGUUUUCUUAUAUAUUCUAAUGACCUCUUUUAACUUCUCAGGUUCAUUUAUAAUAAUUGUCAGGGGACUGCCAUCAGAACGGGAGAAAGCCAGGGGGAUACAGAGAGCCUCUGCCGCUCCUGAGGAGCAACGCCUUGUCCAGCGGUGGAGAAAGCCACACCUCCAGUGGAGCAGAGUGGGAAGGGGGCAGCCAAGCGAGGGGAGGGCUCGAAGAUGCUACUAAGAGCCCAAGCGCCUCACCUAGCCCAGCUGGCCAGGCCCAGCUUAUGCAGAGGGAUGAAACGUAAGGAGGGAAGGCAGAGAUUUUGGGGUGUCUAAGUUAUUAUGUUGGGGGAGAAACCGGAAGGGGCCACUCCCGGAAUCUGCAAGUGACUGAGAUGGACAUGAACUUUCUGGUUCUGCACUGUAAAUAGUUUGCACAAAUAAAAACCCGCUAAAGACAGGUCGGAGUCCUGCCUGGCUAUCCGUGAGCAACCACCUCACCACCUGACAAUAAUGUUUUUUAAAUGAUUUUCUGGACCAGUAGAAUGCAGUUUCAGUCUCCACGCUGAAUCUGUCCCAGCUUCUUCUCCCUAGCAAAGCUUAGAAAGAAAUGAAUCAAUUUUCCAUGAGGGCAAGAAGCUGCUUCCCCUUUGCUCUCUCAGGGACACCACACAUUAUCAAAUGUAUUUCCCAUCUUAAUUAUCUUAAAAUAUAGUCUAGAAGCUUGGAAAUAAGUAGGUAGCAUCACCAAACACCUCACUGGCUUCCAAAACCCCACUUUCCCUGACAUACUGGCAAGGUUGUAUUUUACUUCAGUUAUCUCUAUUUAUGAUCACUUCCAAUUAUUUUUAUUCUCUGAGGCUUUAGCUUCCUCAGUAGUGCUCUUCAGUAGAAGAAAGGUGGCUCAUUUUAAUCCUGUUAUCUUACUGCACAUAAAUUUAGUGAACUUAUUUGUUUGAAUAUUAAAUGUGUGUGUGUGUAUCUACACACACAUACACAGACCUGAGAAAUGAAGUAGGAUUAAUGAAUCUGAGAUCAGAGUGUAAAGUAAAAUAAUAUUAACAUGCCUUAUGCCUAUAUUUUUUGCAUUGUAUAUUUGAAGUUUGGUGACAUUUACCUAGCUGUUGAUUGCAAGUCAUAAGUGAUGGUUGACAAUUAUGACCUGUUUCGUUUGUUGAGGUAACAUAUCUAGAUCAUCAAUAAUAUCAUCUAUUGACAUAAGUGAGGUAUAGUGCCAUGUUUGUCUUGCCAUGUCAAAAAUGGUGCCAUUAUGAAGAGAGCCUGAUACUUUGUAGUCCUCUACAUAGUAUUAUGCAGCUAGACAUAUUUAUUUAUUUAUGCUUUGAUUUUUAAAAAGACCUAAAACAUAUAGAAAUACAGUUAUGGAAUUCAAAAGUGGAGAUAAUCAUUAUUAUUUUAUUUAUUUUUAUACAGUCUUCCACUUUCCCCGGAACUGGGAUUCAAAGCGGCUUACAAAAAUUAAAGCCAGUAUGGAUAAAACACUGAUAACUAAAAGCAUGUGAAGUAAAGGUAAAGGGACCCCUGACCAUUAGGUCCAGUCGUGACCGACUCUGGGGUUGCGGCUCUCAUCUCGCUUUAUUGGCCGAGGGAGCCGGCGUACAGCUUCCGGGUCAUGUUGCCAGCAUGUCUAAGCCGCUUCUGGCGAACCAGAGCAGUGCACGGAAACGCUGUUUACCUUCCUGCUGGAGCAGUACCUAUUUAUCUACUUGCAAUUUGACGUGCUUUCGAACUGCUAGGCUGGCAGGACCAGGGACCGAGCAACGGGAGCUCACCCCAUUGCGGGGAUUCGAACCGCCAGCCUUCUGAUCGGCAAGUCCUAGGCUCUGUGGUUUAACCCACAGCGCCACCCGCGUCCCAUCAAAAGCAUGUG
rnacentral:lncRNA from 1 species